rnacentral:rRNA from 1 species
ACUCCUACGGGAGGCAGCAGUGGGGAAUCUUAGACAAUGGGGGCAACCCUGAUCUAGCCAUGCCGCGUGAGUGAUGAAGGCCUUAGGGUCGUAAAGCUCUUUCGCCAGGGAUGAUAAUGACAGUACCUGGUAAAGAAACCCCGGCUAACUCCGUGCCAGCAGCCGCGGUAAUACGGAGGGGUUAGCGUUGUUCGGAAUUACUGGGCGUAAAGCGCGCGUAGGCGGAUCAGAAAGUUGGGGGUGAAAUCCCGGGGCUCAACCCCGGAACUGCCUCCAAAACUCCUGAUCUAGAGUUCGAGAGAGGUGAGUGGAAUUCCGAGUGUAGAGGUGAAAUUCGUAGAUAUUCGGAGGAACACCAGUGGCGAAGGCGGCUCACUGGCUCGAUACUGACGCUGAGGUGCGAAAGUGUGGGGAGCAAACAGGAUUAGAUACCCUGGUAGCGACUGA